rnacentral:rRNA from 1 species
UACGGGGGGGGCAAGCGUUGUUCGGAAUUACUGGGCGUAAAGGGCUCGUAGGCGGCCAACUAAGUCAGACGUGAAAUCCCUCGGCUUAACCGGGGAACUGCGUCUGAUACUGGUUGGCUUGAAUCCGGGAGAGGGAUGUGGAAUUCCAGGUGUAGCGGUGAAAUGCGUAGAUAUCGGGAGGAAUACCUAUGGCGAAAGCAGGCUACUGGACCAUCACUGACGCUGAUCUGCGAAAGCUAGGGGAGCAAACAGG